GGAAUGAAGGGAUAUGAACAACACGCUGGCAGAGAGUAGUUUAACAUUGGCAUCAUGUACAGAAUGGCCAUUGUUGGCCGAAGGGCCU